rfam:Xenorhabdus vietnamensis strain DSM 22392 Xvie_6, whole genome shotgun sequence.
UUCUAUGGUGGUUCAGGCAGGGGAGACUCAUGUCUCGCCGGCUGAUAACUCCGGUAUCGCAAACCCUGUCUGAGCUACCACCAAU